rnacentral:misc_RNA from 1 species
AAGGAGUCUAACAUGCUCGCGAGUGUUAGGGUGGAAAACCCUUGCGCAGAAUGAAAGUAAAAGUUGGGAACCUCCGCAAGGGGGCGCACCGACGCCCGGCCCAGAAGUUUACGGACGGUGCUGCGGUAGAGCGCGUAUGUUGGGACCCGAAAGAUGGUGAACUAUGCCUGAAUAGGGCGAAGCCAGGGGAAACCCUGUGUGGAGGCUCGUAGCGAUUCUGACGUGCAAAUCGAUCGUCAAAUUUGGGUAUAGGGGCGAAAGACUAAUCGAACCAUCUAGUAGCUGGUUCCUGC